rnacentral:rRNA from 1 species
CCUACGGGCGGCAGCAGUGAGGAAUAUUGGUCAAUGGACGAGAGUCUGAACCAGCCAAGUAGCGUGAAGGAUGACUGCCCUAUGGGUUGUAAACUUCUUUUAUAUGGGAAUAAAAUGUUCCACGUGUGGGAUUUUGUAUGUACCAUAUGAAUAAGGAUCGGCUAACUCCGUGCCAGCAGCCGCGGUAAUACGGAGGAUCCGAGCGUUAUCCGGAUUUAUUGGGUUUAAAGGGAGCGUAGGUGGAUUGUUAAGUCAGUUGUGAAAGUUUGCGGCUCAACCGUAAAAUUGCAGUUGAAACUGGCAGUCUUGAGUACAGGAGAGGUGGGCGGAAUUCGUGGUGUAGCGGUGAAAUGCGUAGAUAUCACGAAGAACUCCGAUUGCGAAGGCAGUUCACUGGACUGCAACUGACACUGAGGCUCGAAAGUGUGGGUAUCAAACAGGAUUAGAUACCCGGGUAGUC